rnacentral:lncRNA from 1 species
CCGUUCUUGCCCCUCUCCAUCGCAGCUUCACUUCUCCCUUAAAAAGUUACAUCACCAUGUUGUUUUAGAUUUGAACUUGUAGCUUUUUUCACUUGCAACGGGCAUGGGUUAGAUGAAUAACACAAUUUAAAGAUAUUACGAAACUGUAGGUUUAAUCUUAGAAAAAAAUUUACAGGUGAACGGGGCCAAGGAAUAGUAUAG